AUGGCUAGUUGUCUCGUCCCUCUGGCCGUUCUUCUGCUCAUCGCGGCGGCACCGGGCGCGGCGGCGUUCCGGACGGGCAACACGACGGCCAUCCACAUCGGCAACACCAAGGCCUGCAUCGCCGGCUACGGGGGGCUCCAGGAUCCGGGCCUCUCGUACAAGCUCUGCAUCCCCACCUGGGUCGCCUUCACCCCCAACGGCACCCUCUUCGGCGAGGCCGCCUUGAACCACGCCGCCGUCAGCCCCGGAACGGCCGUCUCCGGCUUCAAACGCGUCCUCGGCUCCAAGUAUCAGUCUCCCUUGGUUGCUUUCCUCCUCUCGUCUGCCGACGUCGACGGUAUUAAUUCAAGUGUUAUCUGUCUGGUUUGCAGGAUUUUUGAGGAUGUGGUGAAGAGAGAGACGGAGCUAGUGCCGUACAAGCUCGUCGAGUUCCCGGAUGGAAGAUGCGCUAUCGAGAUCCAGAGCGAGGAAGGCGGCGCCAAGGUUUUCCCCGCCGACGAAGUCGCCGGAAUUCUCGUAUCCAAGCUGAAGCGGAUGGCGGAGGCGCACCUGGGCCAGAUCAGGAACGUUCUACUCACCGUCCCCUGGCACUCGAGGGACUACCAAAGGCACCUUCUCGCAACGGCCGCACGGCUCGAGGGCGGCUUCUCCGCCGCGAGGUACGUCGACGAGCAUGUCGCGGUGGCCGCGGCGCACGGCCAUCACGAGAAGGCGCGCGAAGGCAAGGUCAUCCUCGUCUUCCACAUGGGCGGCCGCACGACCCACGCCACCAUGUUCAAGUUUUAG
rnacentral:rRNA from 1 species